AAGCAUGCAGAUCCAAUUUUCUGCCACCGAAUACAUUAGCAUGGGAUAAUGGAAUAGGACCCUGUCCUCCUAUUUUCAGUUGGUUUUGGCAGCGCGAGGACUAGGGUAAUGAUUAAUAGGGAUAGUUGGGGGCAUUAAUAUUUAAUUGUCAGAGGUGAAAUUCUUGGAUUUAUGAAAGAUUAACUUCUGCGAAAGCAUCUGCCAAGGAUGUUUUCAUUAAUCAAGAACGAAAGUUAGGGGAUCGAAGACGAUCAGAUACCGUCGUAGUCUUAACCAUAAACGAUGCCGACCAGCGAUUAGGAGACGUUGAAUACAAAACACCACCAUCGGUGCGGUCAUCCUUGGCGUUGGUCUUCAAAAGCCAGCGCGGGGGUGGCUUAGCCCGGUGGCACCGGUGAAUGACUCCCCUAGCAGCUUGUGAGAA
rnacentral:rRNA from 1 species